rnacentral:rRNA from 1 species
GGAGUUAGCCGGUGCUUCUUCUGUGAGUGAUGUCCUUCCUGCCGGCUAUUAACCCGCAGGCCUUCUUCCUCACUGAAAGUGCUUUACAACCCGAAGGCCUUCUUCACACACGCGGCAUGGCUGGAUCAGGGUUGCCCCCAUUGUCCAAUAUUCCCCACUGCUGCCUCCCGUAGGAGUCUGGGCCGUGUCUCAGUCCCAGUGUGGCUGAUCAUCCUCUCAGACCAGCUACGGAUCGUCGCCUUGGUGAGCCGUUACCUCACCAACCAGCUAAUCCGACAUAGGCUCAUCCGAUAGCGCGAGGCCCGAAGGUCCCCCGCUUUCCCCCGUAGGGCGUAUGCGGUAUUAGCCUGGGUUUCCCCAGGUUAUCCCCCACUACCGGGCAGAUUCCUAUGCAUUACUCACCCGUCCGCCGCUCGCCACCAGGGAGCAAGCUCCCCGUGCUGCCGCUCGACUUGCAUGUGUUAGGCCUGCCGCCAGCGUUCAAUCUGAGCCAUAAUCAACUACUGA